AAGUAGGGCAAUCUGUCUUUAGGAAGGGAAAAAUUACUCUUGAACAAACUGAUCCUAGAUAGUUUCCCCUUCAAGUCAAACAUCUUGU
rnacentral:pre_miRNA from 1 species